UCUCAACCGCCACUUCUCCUCACAAUCCACCGCAAGCAAAGUGCCAGUCAGAGCUCUUUUCCUGGGCAGAGGCGCCUCUGAUCAACUUGUUGGUGGCAUUGAAUUAAUAAGGCUCUGCCCAUCUCCAGCACUGCCUUACUCUUUCGCUUUCUCUCCAACCACUGGCCACCUUGUUGACAAAGGCAACAAAUAGGGAGUGAUUGUGUUGGGCAUUUCUGUUUCACUCGGCAAUUCUUGCUGAUGGUCUUUUAUGGAUACGGGGCAAAGGGGAUGGAGGCUGUCUUGGCUUUGUACACGAGAAUCCUGCUUUUCUUCCGACUCUAAACCCUUUUUUGGAUUCCGUUCACUCUAUUGCUUAGGGUGGCAUUCGUUCUGUUGCCCUCACUUCCACUGGCCAGAUUUUUGCAUUGGGCCAUGGUGGUUUCGGUGCAUUGGGGCAUGUAACAUAGAGAACUAUUCCCUAGAGUAGUGGAAGGUUCUUGAGAUGGAAAAACACGCCACAUUUCCAUUACUGACAUACAUUCUUCUGCCAUCACUGACUCAGGGGAAGUUUGUACCCGGGGUUGAGAAGAAGGAGAUGGCAGAUUAGGCCUCGGCCCUGGUCGGGGUCCAAAUGAAGGGGGUGGACUUAGUAUACUCUGCAAAGUAAAGGCAUUUCCGGUGUCUGUGGCUGCUGUGUCUUGCCAUGAUUUUUUCAGAAAGGUGUUGUUG